UAGGGAAUCUUCCGCAAUGGGCGAAAGCCUGACGGAGCAACGCCGCGUGAGUGAUGAAGGUCUUCGGAUCGUAAAACUCUGUUAUUAGGGAAGAACAAAUGUGUAAGUAACUAUGCACGUCUUGACGGUACCUAAUCAGAAAGCCACGGCUAACUACGUGCUAGCAGCCGCAGUAAUACGGAGGUGGCAAGCGUUAUCCGGAAUUAUUGGGCGUAAAGCGCGCGUAGGCGGUUUUUUAAGUCUGAUGUGAAAGCCCACGGCUCAACCGUGGAGGGUCAUUGGAAACUGGAAAACUUGAGUGCAGAAGAGGAAAGUGGAAUUCCAUGUGUAGCGGUGAAAUGCGCAGAGAUAUGGAGGAACACCAGUGGCGAAGGCGACUUUCUGGUCUGUAACUGACGCUGAUGUGCGAAAGCGUGGGGAUCAAACAGG
rnacentral:rRNA from 1 species